GCUUACCUCUACUAAUAAUAAAGUUUGUAAUGUAACAAUACAAAUAAAUUCAGAGUAUUAACCCUAUAUCUUUCUUACGUUUUUGGGCUUCUUUUUCUAGAGGAGGUUCACAUUGCUUCUGGGGGCCUGGAUUUUCUACUUCGGGCCCACUUCCAGCUGCAACUCUUGUGGAACCUAACUUAUUUAGAGUCCUGAGCAAGGAUUUGCCAACAUCACUCCUUUAA
rnacentral:lncRNA from 1 species